UCCUCUCUCUUCCCUUGCUUCCCACUGCAGCCUAACAGUGUGAAUCUGUGAGUGUUGACUCAAAAGUAAAUAGAGGGACCUCACUGAUGGAACUCAGAGGAAUCCUGUGAUUGGCAUCCUGGCUGCCAUUCUUGAGAUUUUUCUUUAGCACCAGCAAAGACCUUUCUGUUCACCAAGACCUUUCAGAUAGCUCACAUAAUCUUCAUUUAAAUAAAUGUGAGUUUUUAA